GCCUCGGUAGCUCAGCGGUGGAGCGGCAGCCUCGUAAGCUGUAGGCCGCGGGUUCGAAUCCCGCCCGAGGCUCCA
rnacentral:tRNA from 1 species